rnacentral:rRNA from 1 species
AUUGAACGCUGGCGGCAGGCCUAACACAUGCAAGUCGAACGAGUGGCGGACGGGUGAGUAAUAUCUGGGAAACUGACUGAUGGAGGGGGUUAACUACUGGAAACGGUAGCUCAUACCGCAUAACAUCAGAUGUGCCCAGAGGGGAUUAGCUUGUUGGUGGGGGAACGGCGCACCAAGGCGACGAUCACUAGCUGGUCUGAGAGGAUGACCAGACACACUUGAACUGAGACACGGUCCAGACUCCUACGGGAGGCAGCAGUGGGGAAUAUUGCACAAUGGGCGCAAGCCUGAUGCAGCCAUGCCGCGUGUAUGAAGAAGGCCUUCGGGUUGUAAAGUACUUUCAGCGGGGAGGCGUUACCCGCAGAAGAAGCACCGGCUAACUCCGUGCCAGCAGCCGCGGUAAUAC